rnacentral:snRNA from 1 species
AGAUGUGAGGGUGACCUGGCUGUGACACCUGUCACCCCAUUGAUCACUAGUAUUGAUUUGGUUGAUCUGCCUGACUAGGCUGGUGUCCCCUUCCUCCCUCACUGCUCCUUGUGCAUCCCCCUGGAAGCUGCACACUCGAUCAGUUGAAGAGGACUACCAUCCCCAACAGAGGAAGAUUGUUUAGAGAGGGGGGGAGAUUUGGAUGAAUGGUCCAAAGAUAUAAACUUCCAAUUGUAAGAUAAAGAAGUACCAGGGAUGUAAGUACAACAUGACAGCUAUGAUUAACACUCCUGUGGAGUAUAUUUGAAAGU